GCUUAAUGGGAAUUGACAGGUUUAGAAAUAGACUUUUCUUCGGACAAUUUUNNNGGUGCUGCAUGGUUGUCGUCAGCUCGUGCCGUGAGGUGUUAGGUUAAGUCCUGCAACGAGCGCAACCCCUGUCACUAGUUGCCAUCAUUCAGUUGGGGACUCUAGUGAGACUGCCUACGCAAGUAGAGAGGAAGGUGGGGAUGACGUCAAAUCAUCACGGCCCUUACGCCUUGGGCCACACACGUAAUACAAUGGCCAGUACAGAGGGCAGCUACACAGCGAUGUGAUGCAAAUCUCGAAAGCUGGUCUCAGUUCGGAUUGGAGUCUGCAACUCGACUCUAUGAAGCUGGAAUCGCUAGUAAUCGCGCAUCAGCCAUGGCACGGUGAAUACGUUCCCGGG
rnacentral:rRNA from 1 species